rnacentral:rRNA from 1 species
UACGUAGGGGGCAAGCGUUGUCCGGAAUCAUUGGGCGUAAAGAGCGCGUAGGCGGCCCUGUAAGUCCGCUGUGAAAGUCAAGGGCUCAACCCUUGGAUGCCGGUGGAUACUGCAGGGCUAGAGUCCGGAAGAGGCGAGUGGAAUUCCUGGUGGUAGCGGUGAAAUGCGUAGAGUAUCGGGAGGAACACCUGUGGCGAAAGCGGCGCACUGGACCAUAACUGACGCUGAGGCGCGAAAGCUAGGGGAGCAAACAGG